rnacentral:rRNA from 1 species
GAGUAACACGUGGGUAACCUGCCUGUAAGACUGGGAUAACUCCGGGAAACCGGGGCUAAUACCGGAUGGUUGUCUGAACCGCAUGGUUCAGACAUAAAAGGUGGCUUCGGCUACCACUUACAGAUGGACCCGCGGCGCAUUAGCUAGUUGGUGAGGUAACGGCUCACCAAGGCGACGAUGCGUAGCCGACCUGAGAGGGUGAUCGGCCACACUGGGACUGAGACACGGCCCAGACUCCUACGGGAGGCAGCAGUAGGGAAUCUUCCGCAAUGGACGAAAGUCUGACGGAGCAACGCCGCGUGAGUGAUGAAGGUUUUCGGAUCGUAAAGCUCUGUUGUUAGGGAAGAACAAGUGCCGUUCAAAUAGGGCGGCACCUUGACGGUACCUAACCAGAAAGCCACGGCUAACUACGUGCCAGCAGCCGCGGUAAUACGUAGGUGGCAAGCGUUGUCCGGAAUUAUUGGGCGUAAAGGGCUCGCAGGCGGUUUCUUAAGUCUGAUGUGAAAGCCCCCGGCUCAACCGGGGAGGGUCAUUGGAAACUGGGGAACUUGAGUGCAGAAGAGGAGAGUGGAAUUCCACGUGUAGCGGUGAAAUGCGUAGAGAUGUGGAGGAACACCAGUGGCGAAGGCGACUCUCUGGUCUGUAACUGACGCUGAGGAGCGAAAGCGUGGGGAGCGAACAGGAUUAGAUACCCUGGUAGUCCACGCCGUAAACGAUGAGUGCUAAGUGUUAGGGGGUUUCCGCCCCUUAGUGCUGCAGCUAACGCAUUAAGCACUCCGCCUGGGGAGUACGGUCGCAAGACUGAAACUCAAAGGAAUUGACG